CCUACGGGUGGCAGCAGUGAGGAAUAUUGGUCAAUGGACGAGAGUCUGAACCAGCCAAGUAGCGUGAAGGAUGACUGCCCUAUGGGUUGUAAACUUCUUUUAUAUGGGAAUAAAAUGUUCCACGUGUGGGAUUUUGUAUGUACCAUAUGAAUAAGGAUCGGCUAACUCCGUGCCAGCAGCCGCGGUAAUACGGAGGAUCCGAGCGUUAUCCGGAUUUAUUGGGUUUAAAGGGAGCGUAGGGGGAUUGUUAAGUCAGUUGUGAAAGUUUGCGGCUCAACCGUAAAAUUGCAGUUGAAACUGGCAGUCUUGAGUACAGUAGAGGUGGGCGGAAUUCGUGGUGUAGCGGUGAAAUGCUUAGAUAUCACGAAGAAUUCCGAUUGCGAAGGCAGUUCACUGGACUGCAACUGACACUGAGGCUCGAAAGUGUGGGUAUCAAACAGGAUUAGAUACCCCAGUAGUC
rnacentral:rRNA from 1 species